rnacentral:tRNA from 2 species
GCGGAUGUGAUGUAGUGGCUAGCAUCUGAGUGCGCCACACUCAGCGCAUGGGUUCAAAUCCCAUCAUUCGCU